GCUGCGCGCGCAACGCUAUAUCAUUAUACCAUCACUGGUUUUUAGUAAGAUACGAGUCAGUUGUAUUCUUAUCUUGUUUGUUUACGUGCGAGUGGAUCUAGGAUGAUGUCACCGCUGAAGAGUCUGUUGCUGUUGUCAGUUUUCGCUACGUGCUGCCUGUGCUCUAGGCCGCCGUACAUAGGCUGUCAAAACAGUGACGAGUGCGGCAAAGAUGGCUGCUGUGUUAUUGGUAUGGGUCGAUAUUCCAUCCCCACGUGCCAGCCUAGGAGAGAGGUUGGGGAGGUGUGUCGACCCCUGAGCGAACCCGUCAACGUGACCCUGGAGUACCCGGACGGCGCCUCCGUGGAUCUGUCAGGAGUGUUCUACAUCAUGUGUCCGUGCCAGGGAGGUCUGGGCUGUGGCAACGACAUGGAGUGUGUAGAACACGACUUUGCCAGCAACCACGUCGACCAACCAUACGACUACAGCGAGGACAGCAACUACCAAUACUGACCACUCACCAGCGGGGAGCGGCUGUAAAUGCUGGACUGAACAUGAAACGUGAAAUCACAGCUGUGCUCGUCAGAUAUCAACGUAUCUAUGUGUUAAAGGGGAGGACGGGUUUCCUUAUUUGUGAUUGUUCAACAAAUAUGCACAUGUAAUGAUGUUAAACAUAUUGUGUCCUACAAAAUCCCUUUAAAUUGCUAAAAUAAUAGUUAUAUUCGAAUCUACAGCAUUUUGGUAGGUACCUAGGUUUCAACUACUAAAAAUAUUGUGAACAAUACUCAGUAUUGUUCAACUACUAAACAAUACUGGGUUUGGCCGUUUAGCGUCAAAACCGUUUCUGUACCUUUUCUUGCUGUAAGUUCCUGUUUGACUGUUAACAUGUACUGUACCUGAUUGCAUGUCUUCAGAGAUUCGUCAUAUUUAGGCUAUGUGUACUUAUUGUCUAUGUUAGUUUGACGUGAUAACAUGUGACAUUAAAUAAUUUUUAUUUCUAUUAAUCCUUGACUAUGAACCUAUUGUGAAGCAAAUCUAAAUUGGUAAAGACGCUCAAGUGAUUUUAAACUGAUACUGAGACUGUAAACAUUCUACUAAUUACGUCGUGUAUAUUAGAAAUUUGUAUCUUUUCUAAAAAUAAACAACAUUAUUUAACUCAUAAACACAAAUAAACAAUGCAGUGAAGUUUUUAAUCCGCUACAAUAGUUUUAAAAUAUAUAAUUCCCGGGCGAACAUUGAUCACUUUCAUAUCUAGCAAAUAAAACUAAACGUCUUCCAUUCUUGAGGAAAUCUAAUGAAUAUUUUAGAUACAGGACAUGUUAUGUUGUUAAUUUGUUCAUCGUUAUUUGGUUCGUAUGGUCCAGAUGAUUUAUGAUGACCAAAUGACUUUAAUGGGUUUGGACCACAUUCCCUUGUAAGUUUUAAUGGUUUUAAGUUGACUUAUUAAAAAUGCCACCAGCAUAGGAAAAAAAGAAACAAUGAUUUAACUAAUUUUUGCACGACAUCUAGGUUAUUAGUAAAUGUGGUAGGACCUACUA